GACGAACGCUGGCGGCGUGCUUAACACAUGCAAGUCGAACGGUGAAGCGCCUUCCUUUUUGGUGGGUGUGGAUGAGUGGCGAACGGGUGAGUAACACGUGAGUAACCUGCCCCCUUCUUCUGGAUAACCGCAUGAAAGUGUGGCUAAUACGGGAUAUUCUGGGUCUGUCGCAUGAUGGGUCUGGGAAAGAUAUUGUUUCGGUGGGGGAUGUGCUCGCGGCCUAUCAGCUUGUUGGUGGGGUGAUGGCCUACCAAGGCGGUGACGGGUAGCCGGCCUGAGAGGGUGGACGGUCACACUGGGACUGAGACACGGCCCAGACUCCUACGGGAGGCAGCAGUGGGGAAUAUUGCACAAUGGGCGCAAGCCUGAUGCAGCGACGCCGCGUGAGGGAUGGAAGCCUUCGGGUUGUGAACCUCUUUCGCCAGUGAAGCAGGACUGCCUCGUUUGUGGGUGGGUUGACGGUAGCUGGAUAAGAAGCGCCGGCUAACUACGUG
rnacentral:rRNA from 1 species